rnacentral:piRNA from 1 species
UGAGACAUUCUCAGAAGAAAAAUUCCUGGA